rnacentral:rRNA from 1 species
UAUGUGAUCGUCUCUCGCAUAUCAAUAAGCGGAGGAAAAGAAACUAACAAGGAUUCCCUUAGUAACGGCGAGUGAAGCGGGAAGAGCUCAAAUUUGAAAUCUUCAAGGUUUUACCUUGACGAAUUGUAGUUUAAAGAAGUGUUUUCUGUUGAAGUUUUGGUAAAAGUUCUUUGGAAUAGGACAUCAUAGAGGGUGAGAAUCCCGUAUUUGACCAUUAUUUUCAGCUGUGUGAUACACUUUCAAAGAGUCGGAUUGUUUGGGAAUGCAGUCCAAAAUGGGUGGUAAAUUUCAUCUAAAGCUAAAUAUUGGCGAGAGACCGAUAGCGAACAAGUACCGUGAGGGAAAGAUGAAAAGAACUUUGAAAAGAGAGUUAAACAGUACGUGAAAUUGUCAAAAGGGAAGCGUUUGACACCAGUGUUGUUUUCUCGAAAAUCAAUUAAAAAGAGUUAGAUUUUGUUGUGUAUUGACCUUAACAGCUUGCAUUUCAAUUUUCUUGCUUUUUUUAAUGCACUUUUCGUUUAACAAGUCAACAUCAGUUUCUUUUUGUUGUAAAAAGGUCAUUGGAAGGUGGCUUUCUUUUCGGAGAAAGUGUUUAUAGCCUUUGACUCCUGCAAUCGGAGAGACUGAGGUCUGCAGCGUAGAUCCUUCGGGGUUAGAUACAUUUGUGCUAAGUUAUAGCUUUUUAUAGACAACUUGUUGACUAUGAUUAGUCUUGUAGCUUACUCGCUUAUGCUAUUUUACCUACGCUUAGGAUGUUGAAGAUGUAGCACAUCAU